GCUUCAUUACGCCUUGAAAACCCUUACCAAUGCUACACACAAACACAAGAAAAGUCAUGCUCAUAUUUUCAGAAGGGUGAAAAUCAGCCUGCCAAAGCUUCUCACUCCGACAAACUGACUGAAGAGUGAUGUGGCUGUGUGAGAGGGAUUCUUAACAACUUCACAUUCGACACCGGCCCAUCAAGCACCUAUCAAGACUCAAUGAAUAAAUUACACUUUGAUUUAU